GGUUUCGGCUGUCACUGCAGGAUGGGCCCGCGGCGCAUUAGCUAGUUGGUGGGGUAAUGGCCUACCAAGGCGACGAUGCGUAGCCGACCUGAGAGGGUGAUCGGCCACACUGGGACUGAGACACGGCCCAGACUCCUACGGGAGGCAGCAGUAGGGAAUCUUCCGCAAUGGACGCAAGUCUGACGGAGCAACGCCGCGUGAGUGACGAAGGUUUUCGGAUCGUAAAACUCUGUUGAGGGAAGAACAAGUACCAAGUAACUACUGGUACCUUGACGGUACCUCACCAGAAAGCCACGGCUAACUACGUGCCAGCAGCCGCGGUAAUACGUAGGUGGCAAGCGUUAUCCGGAAUGAUUGGGCGUAAAGCGUCCGCAGGUGGCAGUUCAAGUCUGCUGUCAAAGACCGGGGCUUAACUUCGGAAAGGCAGUGGAAACUGAACAGCUAGAGUAUGGUAGGGGCAGAGGGAAUUCCUGGUGUAGCGGUGAAAUGCUUAGAGAUCAGGAAGAACAUCGGUGGCGUCGACGCGGCCGAGUCGUGGGACGG
rnacentral:rRNA from 1 species